rnacentral:tRNA from 1 species
CCGGCGGGCGGUGCGGUGGCCGACUCGGCGGUCCGCCGGGCCGUCGUCCCGCCCGCUCGCGGGCGGGUCCCGGUGGUCCCGCCCGCCCCGGCGGU